AAAAAAAAAAAAAAAGAAAACAAAAGAAGUCAGAACUGAGUGGCUGGGACUCGGCUCAGUGUGUCCUUCCUUCCCGCUCCCACAGCAGCCCAAAACCUUCUGCCCUCGGGUGACGGGGUUGGAGGAGUGGGAAUGCAGUAAUUCGCAGAGGGAAAGGGAGGGUUCUUCUCCUGCGCUGUUCUCUGCUAGGUGAUCGUCACCUCGAUUCCCGGCCAAGAGCUCGAGGCUGAGGUCUUUGACAAGGACUUGGACAAGGACGACUUUCUGGGCAGGUGUAAAGUGAGCCUCGCCGCGGUCCUGGGCAGUGGCUUCCUGGACGAGUGGCUGGCCCUGGACGACGUCCCCUCCGGCCGCCUGCACUUGCGCCUGGAGCGCCUGGCCCCGCGGCCCACCGCUGCCGACUUGGAGGAGGUGCGGGGCUGGAGG